UGCAGUCGAGCGAACAGAAGGGAGCUUGCUCCCGGAUGUUAGCGGCGGACGGGUGAGUAACACGUGGGUAACCUGCCUGUAAGACUGGGAUAACUCCGGGAAACCGGAGCUAAUACCGGAUAGUUCCUUGAACCGCAUGGUUCAAGGAUGAAAGACGGUUUCGGCUGUCACUUACAGAUGGACCCGCGGCGCAUUAGCUAGUUGGUGGGGUAAUGGCUCACCAAGGCGACGAUGCGUAGCCGACCUGAGAGGGUGAUCGGCCACACUGGGACUGAGACACGGCCCAGACUCCUACGGGAGGCAGCAGUAGGGAAUCUUCCGCAAUGGACGAAAGUCUGACGGAGCAACGCCGCGUGAGUGAUGAAGGUUUUCGGAUCGUAAAGCUCUGUUGUUAGGGAAGAACAAGUGCGAGAGUAACUGCUCGCACCUUGACGGUACCUAACCAGAAAGCCACGGCUAACUACGUGCCAGCAGCCGCGGUAAUACGUAGGUGGCAAGCGUUGUCCGGAAUUAUUGGGCGUAAAGGGCUCGCAGGCGGUUUCUUAAGUCUGAUGUGAAAGCCCCCGGCUCAACCGGGGAGGGUCAUUGGAAACUGGGAAACUUGAGUGCAGAAGAGGAGAGUGGAAUUCCACGUGUAGCGGUGAAAUGCGUAGAGAUGUGGAGGAACACCAGUGGCGAAGGCGACUCUCUGGUCUGUAACUGACGCUGAGGAGCGAAAGCGUGGGGAGCGAACAGGAUUAGAUACCCUGGUAGUCCACGCCGUAAACGAUGAGUGCUAAGUGUUAGGGGGUUUCCGCCCCUUAGUGCUGCAGCUAACGCAUUAAGCACUCCGCCUGGGGAGUACGGUCGCAAGACUGAAACUCAAAGGAAUUGACGGGGGCCCGCACAAGCGGUGGAGCAUGUGGUUUAAUUCGAAGCAACGCGAAGAACCUUACCAGGUCUUGACAUCCUCUGACAACCCUAGAGAUAGGGCUUUCCCUUCGGGGACAGAGUGACAGGUGGUGCAUGGUUGUCGUCAGCUCGUGUCGUGAGAUGUUGGGUUAAGUCCCGCAACGAGCGCAACCCUUGAUCUUAGUUGCCAGCAUUCAGUUGGG
rnacentral:rRNA from 1 species